UACGGAGGGUGCGAGCGUUAUCCGGAAUUACUGGGUUUAAAGGGUGCGUAGGCGGCCAGGUAAGUCAGGAGUGAAAGUUUGCGGCUCAACCGUAAAAUUGCUUUUGAUACUGCCAGGCUAGAAUUAGGAUGAGGUCAGCGGAAUGUGGCAUGUAGCGGUGAAAUGCAUAGAUAUGCCAUAGAACACCAAUUGCGAAGGCAGCUGGCUAGACCUGGAUUGACGCUGAGGCACGAAAGCGUGGGGAGCAAACAGG
rnacentral:rRNA from 1 species